GACGAACGCUGGCGGCGUGCCUAAUACAUGCAAGUAGAACGCUGAAGAGAGGAGCUUGCUCUUCUUGGAUGAGUUGCGAACGGGUGAGUAACGCGUAGGUAACCUGCCUUGUAGCGGGGGAUAACUAUUGGAAACGAUAGCUAAUACCGCAUAACAAUGGAUGACACAUGUCAUUUAUUUGAAAGGGGCAAUUGCUCCACUACAAGAUGGACCUGCGUUGUAUUAGCUAGUAGGUGAGGUAAUGGCUCACCUAGGCGACGAUACAUAGCCGACCUGAGAGGGUGAUCGGCCACACUGGGACUGAGACACGGCCCAGACUCCUACGGGAGGCAGCAGUAGGGAAUCUUCGGCAAUGGGGGCAACCCUGACCGAGCAACGCCGCGUGAGUGAAGAAGGUUUUCGGAUCGUAAAGCUCUGUUGUAAGUCAAGAACGGGUGUGAGAGUGGAAAGUUCACACUGUGACGGUAGCUUACCAGAAAGGGACGGCUAACUACGUGCCAGCAGCCGCGGUAAUACGUAGGUCCCGAGCGUUGUCCGGAUUUAUUGGGCGUAAAGCGAGCGCAGGCGGUUUGAUAAGUCUGAAGUUAAAGGCUGUGGCUCAACCAUAGUUCGCUUUGGAAACUGUCAAACUUGAGUGCAGAAGGGGAGAGUGGAAUUCCAUGUGUAGCGGUGAAAUGCGUAGAUAUAUGGAGGAACACCGGUGGCGAAAGCGGCUCUCUGGUCUGUAACUGACGCUGAGGCUCGAAAGCGUGGGGAGCGAACAGGAUUAGAUACCCUGGUAGUCCACGCCGUAAACGAUGAGUGCUAGGUGUUGGAUCCUUUCCGGGAUUCAGUGCCGCAGCUAACGCAUUAAGCACUCCGCCUGGGGAGUACGACCGCAAGGUUGAAACUCAAAGGAAUUGACGGGGGCCCGCACAAGCGGUGGAGCAUGUGGUUUAAUUCGAAGCAACGCGAAGAACCUUACCAGGUCUUGACAUCCCGAUGCUAUUUCUAGAGAUAGAAAGUUACUUCGGUACAUCGGUGACAGGUGGUGCAUGGUUGUCGUCAGCUCGUGUCGUGAGAUGUUGGGUUAAGUCCCGCAACGAGCGCAACCCCUAUUGUUAGUUGCCAUCAUUCAGUUGGGCACUCUAGCGAGACUGCCGGUAAUAAACCGGAGGAGGGUGGGGAUGACGUCAAAUCAUCAUGCCCCUUAUGACCUGGGCUACACACGUGCUACAAUGGUUGGUACAACGAGUUGCGAGUCGGUGACGGCGAGCUAAUCUCUUAAAGCCAAUCUCAGUUCGGAUUGUAGGCUGCAACUCGCCUACAUGAAGUCGGAAUCGCUAGUAAUCGCGGAUCAGCACGCCGCGGUGAAUACGUUCCCGGGCCU
rnacentral:rRNA from 1 species